UACGUAGGGUGCGAGCGUUAAUCGGAAUUACUGGGCGUAAAGGGCUCGUAGGCGGCCAACUAAGUCAGACGUGAAAUCCCUCGGCUUAACCGGGGAACUGCAUCUGAUACUGGAUGGCUCGAGUUUGGGAGAGGGAUGCGGAAUUCCAGGUGUAGCGGUGAAAUGCGUAGAUAUCUGGAGGAACACCGGUGGCGAAGGCGGCAUCCUGGACCAACACUGACGCUGAGGAGCGAAAGCCAGGGGAGCAAACGGG
rnacentral:rRNA from 1 species